rnacentral:rRNA from 1 species
AACGAACGCUGGCGGCAGGCCUAACACAUGCAAGUCGAACGCUGUAGCAAUACAGAGUGGCAGACGGGUGAGUAACGCGUGGGAACCUUCCCAGUGGUGCGGAAUAGCUCAGGGAAACUUGAGGUAAUACCGCAUAAGCCCCUAGGGGGAAAGAUUUAUCGCCAUUGGAUGGGCCCGCGUCGGAUUAGCUAGUUGGUGAGGUAAUGGCUCACCAAGGCAACGAUCCGUAGCUGGUUUGAGAGAAUGACCAGCCACACUGGGACUGAGACACGGCCCAGCCUCCUACGGGAGGCAGCAGUGGGGAAUCUUGGACAGGGCGCGCAAGCCUGAUCCAGCCAUGCCGCGUGAGUGACGAAGGCCUUAGGGUUGUAAAGCUCUUUUGCCGGGGACGAUAAUGACGGUACCCGGAGAAUAAGUCCCGGCUAACUUCGUGCCAGCCGCCGCCGUAAAAC